rfam:Ipomoea nil DNA, scaffold: scaffold2701, cultivar: Tokyo-kokei standard.
CUGACCUUAGCUCAGUUGGUAGAGUGGUGGACUGUAGUUGGACUAAUCUAAAUUGGAAAUCCUUAGGUCGCUGGUUUGAUUUCGGCAGGUUGGA